GCGUCGAUAGUGCAACGGCUCAGCACGCGCCACCGGAUAUGCUGAAAUGUGGGUUCGAAUCCCAGCCGACGCA